rnacentral:rRNA from 1 species
AGGAAGGCGGGGAUGACGUCAAAUCAUCAUGCCCCUUAUGACCUGGGCUACACACGUACUACAAUGGCCGGUACAACGGGCCGCGAAGCCGCGAGGCGGAGCCAAUCCUUAAAAGCCGGUCUCAGUUCGGAUUGCAGGCUGCAACUCGCCUGCAUGAAGUCGGAAUUGCUAGUAAUCGCGGAUCAGCAUGCCGCGGUGAAUACGUUCCCGGGUCUUGUACACACCGCCCGUCACACCACGAGAGUUUACAACACCCGAAGUCGGUGGGGUAACCCGCAAGGGAGCCAGCCGCCGAAGGUGGGGUAGAUGAU